CCUACGGGGGGCUGCAGUGGGGAAUAUUGGACAAUGGGCGAAAGCCUGAUCCAGCCAUGCCGCGUGUGUGAAGAAGGCCUUCGGGUUGUAAAGCACUUUCAGUGGGGAAGAAAGCCUUGGGGCUAAUACCCUCGAGGAAGGACAUCACCCACAGAAGAAGCACCGGCUAACUCCGUGCCAGCAGCCGCGGUAAUACGGAGGGUGCGAGCGUUAAUCGGAAUUACUGGGCGUAAAGCGCGCGUAGGCGGUCUGAUAAGCCGGUUGUGAAAGCCCCGGGCUCAACCUGGGAACGGCAUCCGGAACUGUCAGGCUAGAGUGCAGGAGAGGAAGGUAGAAUUCCCGGUGUAGCGGUAAAAUGCGUAGAGAUCGGGAGGAAUACCAGUGGCGAAGGCGGCCUUCUGGACUGACACUGACGCUGAGGUGCGAAAGCGUGGGUAGCAAACAGGAUUAGAUACCCGAGUAGUC
rnacentral:rRNA from 1 species